rnacentral:rRNA from 1 species
GACGAACGCUGGCGGCGUGCUUAACACAUGCAAGUCGUACGGUAAGGCCCUUUCGGGGUUACACGAGUGGCGAACGGGUGAGUAACACGUGAGUAACCUGCCCACAACUUUGGGAUAACGCUAGGAAACUGGUGCUAAUACUGGAUAUGUGCUCCUGCUGCAUGGUGGGGGUUGGAAAGCUCCGGCGGUUGUGGAUGGACUCGCGGCCUAUCAGCUUGUUGGUGGGGUAGUGGCCUACCAAGGCGGCGACGGGUAGCCGGCCUGAGAGGGUGACCGGCCACAUUGGGACUGAGAUACGGCCCAGACGCCUACGGGAGGCAGCAGUGGGGAAUAUUGCACAAUGGGCGCAAGCCUGAUGCAGCAACGCCGCGUGCGGGAUGACGGCCUUCGGGUUGUAAACCGCUUUCAGCAGGGACGAAGCUUUUUGUGACGGUACCUGCAGAAGAAGCACCGGCUAACUACGUG